GCCUAUACAUGCAAGUCGAACGAACCAUCCUGAUGAUUGAAGCUUGCUUCAUGAUUCAGAUCUUGGUGAGUGGCGGACGGGUGAGUAACACGUGGGUAACCUGCCCAGAAGUGGGGGAUAACAUUUGGAAACAAGUGCUAAUACCGCAUAACAACUUAGAUCACAUGAUCUUUGUUUAAAAGAUGGUUUUGCUAUCUCUUCUGGAUGGACCCGCGGCGUAUUAGCUAGUUGGUGAGGUAAUAGCUCACCAAGGCGAUGAUACGUAGCCGACCUGAGAGGGUAAUCGGCCACAUUGGGACUGAGACACGGCCCAAACUCCUACGGGAGGCAGCAGUAGGGAAUCUUCCACAAUGGACGAAAGUCUGAUGGAGCAAUGCCGCGUGAGUGAAGAAGGUUUUCGGAUCGUAAAACUCUGUUGUUGAAGAAGAACAUAUGUGAGAGUAACUGUUCACGUACUGAC
rnacentral:rRNA from 2 species